rnacentral:rRNA from 1 species
GACGUAGGGCGCGAGCGUUUGUCCGGAUUUAUUGGGCGUAAAGAGCUCGUAGGCGGCUUGUCGCGUCGACUGUGAAAACCCGCGGCUCAACCGUGUGGCUUGCAGUUGAUACGGGCAGGCUAGAGUUCGGUAGGGGAGACUGGAAUUCCUGGUGUAGCGGUGAAAUGCGCAGAUAUCAGGAGGAACACCGGUGGCGAAGGCGGGUCUCUGGGCCGAUACUGACGCUGAGGGGCGAAAGCGUGGGGAGCGAACAGG